CACAUGCAAGUCGAACGGAGCGAAUGAAAGCUUGCUUUUAUAAGCUUAGUGGCAAACGGGUGAGUAACACGUAGGCAACCUGCCGACAGGAUGGGGACAACAUUCCGAAAGGAAUGCUAAUACCGAAUGAAGCGCAGGAGAGGCAUCUCUCCUGCGUGAAAGAUGGCCUCUAUAUAUAAGCUAUCACCUGUCGAUGGGCCUGCGUCUGAUUAGCUGGUAGGUGAGGUAACGGCUCACCUAGGCGACGAUCAGUAGCCGGUCUGAGAGGAUGAACGGCCACAUUGGGACUGAGACACGGCCCAGACUCCUACGGGAGGCAGCAGUGGGGAAUCUUCCGCAAUGGGCGCAAGCCUGACGGAGCAACGCCGCGUGAGUGAAGAAGGUCUUCGGAUCGUAAAGCUCUGUUGAUGGGGACGAACGUGCCUAAUGCGAAUAGUAUUAGGUAAUGAC
rnacentral:rRNA from 1 species